GAAACAACUACCGUCCACGAAGGAUUAUAUUUAUUGCUAUUUUAUUUUAUACUUACCAGAAUCUGAUUUCUCUAUUAGAUGUGUUGAAGUCAAAGAUAAUACUGGAUUUUUGUUCGACCUUAUACUUUUCUGCUGAAGCUCCAUAACGGUCAACACGUAUAAUACCUCUCUGGGAACCUAUUUGUGCAUUCAUGAAGGAUGAAACCCGAAGUUGACGAACAGAGAAAAAGUCAUAUCUUGGGAUAUGGACCGAUACAUCAGUUGAUCUUUGAAUAAGAGAAACUCAGCAACCGCUGCAAGAAUUGAAAUGCCGAAAAUCAUUUGA